UACAGAGGUGGCAAGCGUUGUUCGGAAUUACUGGGCGUAAAGGGCGCGUAGGCGGUCUUUUAAGUCUUGUGUGAAAUCCCUCGGCUCAACUGAGGAACUGCACGGGAUACUGGAAGACUUGAGUUCGGGAGAGGGAAGCGGAAUUCCGGGUGUAGCGGUGAAAUGCGUAGAUAUCCGGAGGAACACCGGUGGCGAAGGCGGCAUCCUGGACCGACAUUGACGCUGAACGGCGAAAGCUAGGGGAGCAAACGGG
rnacentral:rRNA from 1 species